rnacentral:lncRNA from 1 species
UCAUACCUCUAAGUUCAAAGCUCAUGCUCGUGGUUCUGAUGUUAAUCUUAACCAGUGCGUCCAAUCAUAAACAACAGUAUCUACAGUCAGGGGACUGAAAGAGAGGACGCCCAAGUAGUUGGUGUAAGUGAUCAAGAAAACCAAUAGCCAGACAUAGUCACGUAUCUAAUGAAAUAAACAGGAAAAUGGAGGUAAACCAAAUCAAAUUCAUUAGAUUAAGCCAACCCAUAAUAGGUGGUUACAUCAAAGCAACAGAAAUUAAAAACUGAAUAAAUAAAAAAAAACAAAAAUUACACAAAGAAAUUUCAAACCUCCCUUGGGUUUCCUCCCAAGCAGCGCUUCGUUUAACGUCGCAUGGCUCGACGGGACACCUCAUACACAGAUGAGUUUAACGGUUUCAAUUGGUCCCCCUUAACCGGGAUUAUAUGGUUUCAACCUCUGACCAUUAACCUUGAAGGUGUCGCCAUUCUUCUCAUUUAAAACACCAAUACCACUUUUAUGUUUCUUCAGUACCUCUUCAU